UACGGAGGGGGCAAGCGUUAUCCGGAAUUAUUGGGCGUAAAGCGUCCGUAGGUGGCUAGUCAAGUCUGCGGUGAAAGCCUGAGGCUUAACCCUGGAAAGGCCGUGGAAACUGACGAGCUAGAGUGCAGUAGGGGUAGAGGGAAUUCCCGGUGUAGCGGUGAAAUGCGUAGAGAUCGGGAAGAACACCGGUGGCGAAAGCGCUUUACUGGACUGCAACUGACACUCAGGGACGAAAGCUAGGGGAGCGAAUGGG
rnacentral:rRNA from 1 species